AGAGUUUGAUCCUGGCUCAGGAUGAACGCUGGCGGCGUGCCUAACACAUGCAAGUCGAACGGAGAUUACAGACGGAAGUUUUCGGAUGGAAGACUGUAAUUCUUAGUGGCGGACGGGUGAGUAACGCGUGGGCAACCUGCCCUAUACAGGGGGAUAGCAGCUGGAAACGGCUGGUAAGACCGCAUAAGUCGGCGAGACCGCAUGGUUUUGUCGGGAAAUGAGCAAUCAGGUAUAGGAUGGGCCCGCGUCCGAUUAGCCAGUUGGCAGGGUAAAAGCCUACCAAAGCAACGAUCGGUAGCCGGACUGAGAGGUCGGACGGCCACAUUGGGACUGAGACACGGCCCAAACUCCUACGGGAGGCAGCAGUGGGGAAUAUUGCACAAUGGGGGAAACCCUGAUGCAGCGACGCCGCGUGAGUGAAGAAGUAUUUCGGUAUGUAAAGCUCUAUCAGCAGGGAAGAUAAUGACAGUACCUGACUAAGAAGCCCCGGCUAACUACGUGCCAGCAGCCGCGGUAAUACGUAGGGGGCAAGCGUUAUCCGGAUUUACUGGGUGUAAAGGGAGCGUAGACGGAAUGGCAAGUCUGAAGUGAAAUACCCGGGCUCAACCUGGGAACUGCUUUGGAAACUGUUGUUCUAGAGUGUUGGAGAGGUAAGUGGAAUUCCUGGUGUAGCGGUGAAAUGCGUAGAUAUCAGGAAGAACACCGGAGGCGAAGGCGGCUUACUGGACAAUAACUGACGUUGAGGCUCGAAAGCGUGGGGAUCAAACAGGAUUAGAUACCCUGGUAGUCCACGCUGUAAACGAUGAAUACUAGGUG
rnacentral:rRNA from 1 species